rnacentral:piRNA from 1 species
UCAUGUAUUUUCUAGUUUUCC